rnacentral:misc_RNA from 1 species
AUGUACCACUGGAUUUCAAGCAGCCCGUUGGAGCUGUAGCUGAUCAGAUAACGGACCACCGCGUUGCCUGCACUCACGACGCAGGCGAGAAGCACGAGCCAUUUCGCUAUGUAACCGGCGACAUCACUGAUGCCGUCGACAACGCGCGUGAAUUUUACGAUGUCCAACGCAUCCCCCCAGGAUCAACCUACAUACAUUUGCCUUUUUCUUACCUCGCAUGCGCGAGGCGCGGCUCUACUCUGCCGAGGCAUUAUGACGCGGCGGCACCAUUUCAG